rnacentral:rRNA from 1 species
UGAAUACGAGACGCUAAGGCGUCGAAGUAGUGUAUGUCAUACUUCCAAGAAAAGCUUGCACUGUCAUAGAUAAAAAACGCCUGUACCAUAACCGACACAGGUGGGUAGGUAGAGUAUACUAAGGGGCGCGAGAUAACUCUCUCUAAGGAACUCGGCAAAAUAACUCCGUAACUUCGGGAGAAGGAGUGCCUUAUUCGUAAGGUUGCAAUAACAAGAUCCAAGCAACUGUUUAUCAAAAACACAGGUCUCCGCUAAGUCGUAAGACGAUGUAUGGGGGCUGACGCCUGCCCAGUGCCAGAAGGUUAAAGAAGUUGGUUAGCAAUUGCGAAGCUGAUAACUGAAGCCCUGGUGAACGGCGGCCGUAACAAUAACGGUCCUAAGGUAGCGAAAUUCCUUGUCGGGUAAGUUCCGACCCGCACGAAAGGCGUAAUGAUUUGGAUACUGUCUCGGAGAGGGGCUCGGUGAAAUAGACUUGUCUGUGAAGAUGCGGACUACCUGCACCAGGACAGAAAGACCCUAUGAAGCUUUACUGUAACUUGAAAUUGAAAUUGGACUUUAUUCGCGCAGUAUAGGUGGGAGGCGUUGAUUAUAAUCUUGUGGGAUUAUUGGAGCCAUCAGUGAGAUACCACUCUUGUAAUGUUAGAUUUCUAACUUUGAAUCAUUAUCUGGUCAAAGAACAGUUUCAGGCGGGCAGUUUGACUGGGGCGGUCGCCUCCUAAACGGUAACGGAGGCGUACAAAGGUUUCCUCUGAACGGUUAGAAAUCGUAUCUAGAGUGUAAAGGCAUAAGGAAGUUUGACUGUGAGACCUACAAGUCGAGCAGGGACGAAAGUCGGUCUUAGUGAUCUGACGGUACUGAGUGGAAAGGCCGUCACUCAACGGAUAAAAGUUACUCUAGGAUAACAGGCUGACCUCCCCCAAGAGUUCACAUCGACGGGGAGGUUUGGCACCUCGAUGUCGGCUCAUCGCAUCCUGGGGCGGUAGUACGUCCCAAGGGUUGGGCUGUUCGCCCAUGAAAGCGGUACGCGAGCUGGGUUCAGAACGUCGUGAGACAGUUCGGUCCAUAUCCGGUGUAGGCGUUAGAAUAUUGAGAGGAGCCUUCUUUAGUACGAGAGGACCGAGAAGGACAUACCUCUGGUGUACCAGUUAUCGUGCCAACGGUAAACGCUGGGUAGCUAUGUAUGGAGUGGAUAACCGCUGAAAGCAUCUAAGUGGGAAGCCCACCUCAAGAUAAGUAUUCUCAUC